AAGUCGAGGCGGGCAAACCAGCGUCACAUUGCAACACGCCAAGAAGAUGAAUCGCGAGCAGAUUGCCCGCCGCAUUGACCUUGUCGGUCCCUCCACCGGCGCCAUCGUCGGCGUCGCCACGUGGUGUGCCCUGCACGGUGCCGAGGCGGACGCCAUUCUGAACUACGUAGCGGAGAAGAUGAAGCACAAAGAUACAACGGACGCGCAGCGGGCCUCACUGGUGUAUGUGAUUCACGAACUGCUGCUGAGUUGCGCUACCCGCGGUGUCUCAGAGAACGCAAAGCGCUCCAUCCUCAAGGCCGUGAGUCUCACCCUGCCAAGCGCGGUGAAGGACACGCUGCGGCAGAGAGCAAGCGAUCACACGGCUUUCCUGAUCGCCUUGCAGAAAGCAACGGAGUGGUGGAGUAUGCUGAACCUGUUCCCGGCGGCCUGGCUGACAAAGCUGCAGUGCACCGUUCAGGAUGGGCAAGAGAGCGCCGGUCACCGCACUAGCGUCCCCUCUGCCUUGAUGCAGGUUGCCAAUCUCCUGCAGCGCUACCAGCAUGCUAAGGAGCAGUGGGUGCAGAACAGGAACAUCAAAGCAGAAGAGGGGCGCAGUGGAAGCGGGGCGGCGAGUGGCCAAGACACCGCAGCGCCGCUGGCAGGCGGGGGUGCAGGCGCUAGCAGUGCCGUUGUGGACGAUGCGGCAAGGCGAUGCCUCAUCGCCUUGAGGAAAGCCGUGGAGAGUCGCUUUGAGAAAAAUGCGGCAUUGCUCGCGUGGUGCGAAGCAGAGCGUGCGGAGCUUGAGGGUCGCACCACCACCUCAAGCGCAGGCAGUGGUGUAGUGAAGAUGGCGCACGGCACCUCGCCUCAUGUGCCGACGCACGGUGGGUCAGGUAGCAGCUAUCCAGUGAAGGAGGAAGGCGGCCACGGUGGCAGUCAGUCGGGAGGGCCCAAUGACGACGAUGAUGUGCUUGGCUCCUUCUUCUCCUGAUACAUCGAUUAGGGGGUCACGCAGUGCGCCUUUUGCGUGUGUGUGUUCCUCUGUUCGUAAUGACCGGCGUGUUGGCCCCGUGCGAGCAGCGGGAGCCAACGUCGCGCCUCGCCCUUCUCCGUUUCUCUUGCAUAACAGGCAAAGGUUCUCAGCACAUGACAUUCUGGGUCGGUGUGUAUUAUGUGCAUAGGGGUGAGCCUCGAUGGACACCGGCGUCGCCCUAACGCUGCCACGCGCAAAGGAUAUUGCUCUCCUACUUGGGACCUGACGGCCCCUUCCCUUCCCUUCCCUUCUCUACACCCGCGGCAUAUGCGAGCAUGCUAUCAGGUCUUUCUUUUCUAUCGGCUUCCACGUUCUCUGCAUCCACCUUCCCUCCUCUUCGCCCCAUCCAUCAACAACACAG
rnacentral:misc_RNA from 1 species